AGAGCGAACGCUGGCGGCAGGCUUAACACAUGCAAGUCGAACGGAUCCUUCGGGAUUAGUGGCGGACGGGUGAGUAACACGUGGGAACGUGCCUUUAGGUUCGGAACAACACAGGGAAACUUGUGCUAAUACCGGAUGUGCCCUUCGGGGGAAAGAUUUAUCGCCUUUAGAGCGGCCCGCGUCUGAUUAGCUAGUUGGUGGGGUAAUGGCCCACCAAGGCGACGAUCCAUAGCUGGUCUGAGAGGAUGAUCAGCCACACUGGGACUGAGACACGGCCCAGACUCCUACGGGAGGCAGCAGUGGGGAAUAUUGGACAAUGGGCGAAAGCCUGAUCCAGCCAUGCCGCGUGAGUGAUGAAGGCCUUAGGGUUGUAAAGCUCUUUCAGUAGGGAAGAUAAUGACGGUACCUACAGAAGACGCCCGGCUAACUUCGUGCCAGCAGCCGC
rnacentral:rRNA from 1 species